GAAUGCUUCUGGAGCACUGCAUCCUGCUGCCAGGAUACCGUGAUGCUGAGGGCACAAACAAAUGAAUGCUGGUCACGAAAAGCACAAAUAAACACGCUGGUGAGAAGAAUGCGGUGUGCGUCGUGCACCGAAGUCACACUGUAACAGGAACAGAAGCAGCUGUGUUUGCAUUGCCCACUCACAGGGUUCCUGAGCCAACAGAGCAAACCUGAACCCAUCCUCCUGAAUGCCUGGACUUGCUGUGCCUUUCAUAUUCCAUCCUUCAGGACCGAUAGGCAGUGGUUCCACCUGAUUUUCAACUUGAGAGUUGGGUGCACACAGUUGUUACGAAUGCAAGUGCGGGGCAUUCAUUGGCAAGGCAAUAAAUUCAUUGGCAAGCAUAAUGACAGUGGUGUUUCUUGUAAGGCCACUUGUGAGUGGGCCCUUCAUGGAGGCUGUGGGGAUGCAGUCCCACCUGCACGUGCCGAGGCCUGGAGCUGUCUGUUGGCGUGGUUCCUCUGGCACCAGCUCCAGGAUGGGGGGCUGGAGCACAGCUGCCACACAAACACCUGAGGGAGGAAUCUGAUGUGAGCUCCACUCAAGAAAGACGUUGCAAAGCAAAACAAAGCCACUAAGUUGUCCACAGACAGUUCUUUGCAGCUGAUCGGUAGAGGAUUUCCUAUGUUUAACUCCAAUUAAAAGA